AUGACCUUCGCCGGGGCUUCACGCCGCCGGCGAGCAUCUGGUUCCCAUCCCCCUCUCCCUCUCAUAGCCAUCGUCCUCCUGCUAGUCUUCCCACCUCCUUCCCGCACUUACGCGCUCCGCGUCCCACUGCGCGAGGUCGCCUCCCUCCUCUCCCUCUCCCACUCCCUCCUCACCCGCAUCGCGGUCACCCGCGCCGACCGGGGGGACGCCGCUGCCGCUGCCCGCGCUCGCCGAAUCGCCUCACACAUAUCCAUUCUAUCCUCCCGCGGUGCGUGGGCUCUUGGCUGGGACUACCUCCGCCACUAUGCUUUCUCCUCCGUCACCGGAUGCGGCUUCUCCUGUGCCACUGCCGCCGCCCGCCUCCUCGCCGCUGCGGCGGAGGCCUCGCGCCUAAAGUCACCCGUCGAUGCGGCCCAGUGGCUGCGCCGUAAUUACGGUGACCUCCUAGCCGCCGCUACGCAGCUCCUAAACGGACUCCUCUCCGCCUUCUCCGAGCAGGGGCCGCUAAGGGAGGUGGUGUUGGAUGUGAAGUGGGAAGUGGAGGAAGGGGGGUUGCUGAAGGAUUGCCUUCAGGUGGGAGCCAAAGACUUGGAGGGCUUGCUUAUCAUUGCCAAAGAUCUCUUUGGUGCUUCAAGGGCUUCUUCACGCCACAGUGAACUCUGA
rnacentral:rRNA from 1 species